rnacentral:rRNA from 1 species
AUUGAACGUUGGCGGCAGGCCUAAGACAUGCAAGUCGAACGAGAAAACACCUUCGGGUGUGAGUAAAGUGGCGGACGGGUGAGUAACGCGUAGGAAUCUACCUUCAGGUGGGGGACAACUCGGGGAAACUCGAGCUAAUACCGCAUAACAUCUAAGGAUCAAAGUGGGGGAUCUUCGGACCUCACGCCAGAAGAGGAGCCUGCGUUGGAUUAGCUAGUUGGUGGGGUAAUGGCCUACCAAGGCGACGAUCUAUAGCUGGUCUGAGAGGACGAUCAGCCACACUGGAACUGAGACACGGUCCAGACUUCUACGGAAGGCAGCAGUCGGGAAUCUUGGGCAAUGGGCGAAAGCCUGACCCAGCCAUGCCGCGUGUGCGAAGAAGGCCUUAGGGUUGUAAAGCACUUUCAGUCGCGAAGAAAAGCUCGAAGUUAAUAACUUCGAGUCUUGACGUUAACGACAGAAGAAGAUCCGGCUAACUCCGUG